CCCUUAGAUGUCCUGGGCUGCACGCGCGCUACACUGAUGCGCUCAACGAGUUUACGAUCUUGCCUGAAAUGGCUGGGUAAUCUUUUUAAAACGCAUCGUGAUGGGGAUAGAUCAUUGCAAUUAUAGAUCUUGAACGAGGAAUGCCUAGUAAGUGCAGUUCAUCAGGCUGUACUGAUUACGUCCUUGCCCUUUGUACACACCGCCCGUCGCUCCUACCGAUUUCGAGUGGUCCGGUGAACCUUCUGGACUGAGUUCGCAAGAAUUCGGGAAGUUAAGUAAACCUUAUCACUUAGAGGAAGGAGAAGUCGUAACA
rnacentral:rRNA from 1 species